rnacentral:lncRNA from 1 species
GCCACCCCGCGCGUCUGUGUCGCUUACCCUCCUCCCAGCCCCUCUGUCAUUUCAAACACGUAACCGCGAACAGAGUCGAGCGAGAGAGAUAGCCAUGGCGAUUUGGAGCUCCGCCUCGACGCUCGAUCCAGUGUUUUGGUGGUGACUCGUCCGUGCUCUACCUCGUGCUGCCCCGCUUCCUCUGCCUCCGUUCUGUUCCUGCCGGCGAGAUCUGCGGCAUCUCUCGGCCCCGCACCGACCCGUCCCCAUUUCCGCCGCUGUUGAUUUUGUUCGUCGGAUUCGGUAUCCCCCCUCCCUUUUGUUGUUCCUGUGAUCUGUUAGGUAGUGAGUUGGUUUUGUCUGUCAGAUCUGUUGAUUGUAUCCAUCCCCCGCAGCUAUUUUCCGUGUAGAUUUGUUUAGGUUUGCGCCGUUUCUGGGAUGCGUUUGAUUGAUCUGCUAAGCGCAGUAGCUGCGGUAGCUGGGAUGCGCGCCAGUUUGAUCUGCUGAUCUGUAAUUGGUUGGUUGUUUGAAUUCGAGUUGUUCCUGUCAAGCUGGCUUGCUUAGUUGUAGUAGUCUGAUGUAUUCAGUCAAUUCGAACGGAUAUAUUCUGUUCCCUAGCCUUAAUCCCUAGACCGUUUUUCUUCACUGGUAUCGCUUAGUGGGUAUGUAGUUUACUCUGCAAUUCUUAUAUGGAUUUACAGUGAUUUGCAGUGCAAUACCCAUAGUUUUUUAGAGUGAUUUACAGUGUAACUCAUACUGGAUUUUUAUUGAUUUUUCGCUAUAAUUCAUAGUGGAUUUCCAGUGUAAUUUUCUAGUGGAUAGGUAGUAGAUUGUAGGUAAAUCCAAAGCAAUUUGUAGUGUAAUCCCCGGUUAUUUUACAGUGUAAUUACAGUGUAUUUUGUCAGUGGAUUUGCACUAUAUUUGCUAGUGGAAUAACAGUGUAUGUGUCAUGUAUAAUUACAGUGUAUUUUUGUCAGUGGAGUUGCACUGUAUUUGUUAGUGGAAUUACAGUGUUUUUGUCAGUGGAUUUACACUGUAAUUUGAUAGCUGAUUUACAGUGUAAUUGCCAUGGAUUUGCACUGUAUUUGCUAGUGGAAUUACAGUGUAAUUGACUUGGAUUUUUAUAAUGGAAUUGCGUUUGGAUUUACAGUGUAUUUGUCAGUGGAUUUACAGUGUAAUUGGUAACUGAUUUACAGUGUAAAUUCAGUGUAAUUACAUUGUAAUUAUGAGUGUAUUUAUAGUGGAAUUAAGUACAGUGUGUAGCUUGAUAUUGUAUGUUUUAUAGCAGAGAAAUCGUGACCGUUUUGUGAUGCAUCGCUAGUUUGCAAUUGAUAUUCGGAAUUGCUAAUUUUCAGCCAUAUGAAAAUAAUUGUGCUUCAUUCGUUUUUUCAGCCAUGGCGAUUUGGAGCUCCCCUCGCCCCUCCUUCACGUUCUUGGUUGUAAUUAUCCCCUAUCCCCUAUAUCAUCCCCUGCAUUUUUUUCUUCUGAUUUCUAGAUCCGGCGGAUUAGUAUUCUUGUCUAUUGGUCAUUUCUGGGCUUUUUUGUUGCGGAUGUAGCGUUUGAUGUAGAUGUAGCGGUGGAUCUCUCUAUCUUUUUAAUAUCUGCUUAUCCUGUCAUUUGAUUUUGAUGCCCCCUGUACUGGGUGUUGUUUCAUCCCUAUGGGCGUCUGAUAGGUGUAUGAUUCCACUGGUUGUUUCAAUUCAGCUAGCCUAUUUCAUGUGGAUGUAGGAUGCAGAUGCUUAAUCCCCUGGUUGUUGAGUCUCAUGGUCUGUAGUUGGGGUUUCUCGAUUAUGUGUCCAUUUUUUUGUGUGAUUUGACUAAUCUCCUCCCUCUGAUCACAAUUACUUAGCCUUAUUAGUUUACCAAAUCUCCUUCUCCACCUAUCUGUUCAUGAUUUUGUCUACACUCGUAGUUGCUGCAUUGAGUUGUUCAUUGUUAGUUGGUCGCAGUGUAACUUGCAGUCAUAUUUUUCAGUGUAACUUUCAGUGAUUAGCACUAAAAUUUCCAGUAUUUUUGGUGCAACUUACAGUGAUUUGCACUGAAAUUUCCAGUGUAAGUUUCAGUGGAAUUUUCAAUUUAAUUACAUUGUAGUCCAGUGUAAUUGUGUAGUGGUGUACAACCCUGUAACUUACAGUGUACAUUACACUAGUUUCAAUGUAUUUUCGUUGUAAUUUUGAAGUAAUGUGUAACUUACAGUGAUUUACUCUGAGUUUUCCAGUAUUUUGGUGCAACUUAUAGUGAUAUUUUCAGUGUAACUUGGAGUUUCCAGUAUUUUUUAGUGUUACUUACAGUGAUUUGCACUGAAAUUUCCAGUAUAAUUUUCUGUGCAAUUUCAGUUUAAUUAUGUUAUAGUCCAGCGUAAUUGCAUAGUGCUUUACAACCAUGUAGCUUAGCAUACUUUUGUACUGGAAUUUCCAGUGUAAAUUUCAGUGUUUUCACAAUGUAAUUGUCUAAUUUACUAGCAAUGUCCUGUGACUUACAUUACUCUGCACUGAAAAUCCCAGUGUAAAUUUGAUUGUAAAUUGAUUGUAUUUACUGUGUAAUUACACUGUAUUAUCAGUGCACUUAUACUGUUAAUCACAGUGUAAUUUCAGUAAAUUACAAUGUUAUCCUAGUGAUUACAUUUACACGUGGUGCUUCCUGUGUAGCCGUGGCAUAUUUUAGGUGGUCUUUUUGUGUGUCUUAGUUGCAGUCCUGAUUGAUUUCUAUGAUUUUUAGUUAGUUAUUAUGUAAGUGGUUCUCUCUGUAAUAUAUUCUUUUUGUGAAUGAUAGAAAUGAUUUAGUUUACUGUGUCUGUUAGUCUCUGGAGGGUGUUCAUUCAGCUGUUGUUAUUAGUUUACUAUCAUAAUCAUUUGACCAUCGUUAGUGAAGCAAAUGGGCAGAUUGAUGAAGGGUUGUGAGCAGGGAACCCAUGACCUUUCUCCUGAUGACAGUGUAGAUUCUUCAGAGAAACCUUUUAUCCCCGACGACUAUGCUGAUGAUGAUUGUUUCAAAGUGUCACAGGUUUAAAUUUUUCUUUUCAAUAGACUGUCCUGCUUGUUUUGAUUUUCCUGCACCCUAGUUUUAACUAAGUUUCAUUUUGCUUUUUCCAAGUUUUGUCUACGGAUGAUGGCAUUUUAGACUAGGCAUUGUUUGAUUUCUAUGUGAAUCAUGUAAGUAAUUAGUUAUUGUUCUCUUCAGUUCUCACUCAUGUUUUGUUUCAUUUCGUGUUGGUAGCUCCUAGUAUUUUUUUACAGUGCCUCUGAUCUGAACUUACAUUGCCCCUGUAAGUUUUGAUUUUACAUUGUUUCAUUUUUUACAGUGUGCUUCAGUAAGAUUUACUAUUUUGUAUGAUCAAAGUAAAUGUGUUUUCAUUUACUGUAAGUUUUGGUAGCUCAUAGCAAUCUUUUUACAGUGCUUCUGAUCUGAUUUUACAAUGUGCUUCAGCAAGAUUUACAGUUCUAUGAUCAAAGUAAACAAUGGUGUCAUUUAUUGUAAGUUCUGGUAGCUCCUAGUAUUUUGUUUACAGCGCCUAUGAUCUGAUUUUAUAGUGUGUUCUGGCUAUGGUUAGAGUAUUUUUUUAGUUUGAUUUUUUACGGUGCUAUUGAUGAAUUUCUUACAGUGUGCUUUUUUUAACUUCUACUAUUAUUUUAUCACAUUAAUUGGUUUUUUCAUUUUCUAUGAAGUCUGAGAUUUUGAUAGUGUGCUUUUCACCAUCUUGCAGUGCACUAUUCUCAUCUAGUUCCAUGUUUCUUCUUUUUGUUGUCUUCAGACCAUGAAACUCGUUGGAGUUGUUCAGUCUCACAAACAAUGCUGACAAACCCAAGAUUUUUCAAGGAUGCUGACAAGCCUUGUUAUCAAAGUGUUGGAUUGCUUAGUUGGGUCCUCUUUCAAAGUUAGUGACGGUUUUUCCCCAAGAUUGAAUGCUGAAGUUGAUUUCCAAAAUAUAUCAUCUACUCCAACUUUGAAAUUUUCCAACAGUGAGCAGUACUAUUCAAGGAAGAAAUCUGCAGAUUAGCAGAGAGUAUCAUGUUAUCAUUUUUUUUUCUUAUGUAUCUUUAUUUGUUCAAGCUUUAAGUAAUGUUUUUGUUUUGUAAAAUUUAACCUUCUGUAAAUGAUCAAAAUGAAGUCCAGAAUGUUUGAAAGGCCGACACCAAUUUAUGCAUUAUUUGGUUCAGUCUCUCCCUCUUGUUUGUUAUCUGUUGUUCUGUCUAUCGGGUUUCAAACAGGGGUGGACCCGUUUAGUAUUUGUGUUGUUCCCUCUCUAGGAUCCCCCGUUUGUAAUUCUCGCAGACCCAUUAAAAGGGUAGAGCGCAUCUGGGAUAGAUACAACGAUAGACGGGGACCGGAACAUACAUAAGGACAUUGGACACUUGUCAAGUUGUGGUUGGUCAAAAAAUAUGACUGAAGACCAAUUGGUUUU